rnacentral:tRNA from 1 species
CGCGGGGUGGAGCAGCCUGGUAGCUCGUCGGGCUCAUAACCCGAAGGUCGUCGGUUCAAAUCCGGCCCACGCAA